GAUCAUGGCUCAGGAUGAACGCUAGCGGCAGGCUUAAUACAUGCAAGUCAAGGGGGUAGCAAUACAACCGGCGCACGGGUGAGUAACGCGUACGCAACAUACCAUAUACUGGAGUAUAGCUUUGGGAAACUGAAGGUAAUCCUCCAUAACAUUGCGAGAGGGCAUCUGAUUGCAAUUAAAGUUCCGACGGUAUAUGAUUGGUGUGCGUUUGAUUAGCUAGUUGGUAGGGUAACGGCCUACCAAGGCGACGAUCAAUAGCUGGCGUGAGAGCGCGACCAGCCACACUGGAACUGAGACACGGUCCAGACUCCUACGGGAGGCAGCAGUAGGGAAUAUUGGACAAUGGGCGAAAGCCUGAUCCAGCCAUGCCGCGUGAUAGAUGAAGGCCCUCUGGGUUGUAAAUAUCUUUUAUCUGGGAAGAAACUCCUCUAUUCUUAGAGGCCUGACGGUACCAGAGGAAUAAGCACCGGCUAACUCCGUG
rnacentral:rRNA from 1 species